AACGUUCUCAUCCAACUUCCAUUUUUCCUUCUUCAAUUUAUAGAGAACAUUUAAGAGAGAGUUUGGAAGGAAGAAGGAGAGGAAUUUUACUAGAAUUUUGAGGUUGAAGAAGGGAAGGAAAAAUCAAGCAAAGUGUAUCCAUGGCUGAAUCUUGGUUCAUUCUGCACAUCACUGGUCUUUAAUUUGGUUUGAACUCUUCAAAAGGAAUUAAGAGGUGAGGUUUACAUUUACUGAAAGUUAACUCAUUUUCAAACAAAUUUUAUGAAUAAAGUUGGAGCAAAUUCGGAUAUUCAUUGAUGAAGAAAACAGGGCAGUUGGCUUUCAUGCGAAAUCAGGAGGUCUCUGGUUUUUCUUAUAUUUCAGAGUGUGCCGGUAGAGUUAGGAUCUCUAUUUGGGACAAGUUAAAGAGAUCGUGUGCGCGCGAUUCUUGAAGUUUUUCUGUUUCGAGGGUUAUCUGAGUUUAUGCACAGGGAAUCAGAUUUACAUGUCUUCAGGUAGAGAUCGAGUUCUUGGUGCCUGAUAAACUACCUUAGUCUGCUGAAGCUCUAUUAUCGAUUGUCAGUACGUGUUUCGAGUUGGGCAUAGAGUCUGUUGUGAUAUGAUGUAUAUACAUCCUUGUAUGUUAUAGAUACUCCACAGUUUGUAUAAGCUUUAGGAGCUGCAGUUGUGUAAAUUUUUGUUGGUUACAUUUUGAUUAAGGUGUCUUUAGGUUUACUCGUGAAAUCAAUUAAUUCCAAGGUACACUUCAUGUAUAUGUUUGACUAGCCUAGGAUCCGUUGUGUUUUGUUGCAUGUAAAAUAGUUUAUAUACUAGAUUGGCAAGUUCAUCACAUUAAAGUUUUAAGCAGAGUCGACAGAUAUAGGUAAAGAAAAUCGUUGUUCGUCGGCUUCACGCCAUCUUUAAGUCUAAGCUAACAGGUAGUCUGGGAGGGGGUGUGACAUGGAGUCACCUCCCCAAACGACAAAGGCACCCGAUCGCUUCUAUUAGGGUGGUGGAUCUAACGGCCAAAUCCCGAUCGUCCCCCAAUAGAAGUUAAAUCACUGACAGCGGAGUCACCUCUCCAAACGACGAAGACACCCGAUUGCUUCCACCAAGGUGAUGGAUCUGAUCGCCAAAGCCCGAUCAUCCCCCAGUAGAAGUUAGAUCGAUGACGGCAGAGUCACCUCUCCAAACGACGAAGGCAUCCGAUCACUUCUACCAAGGUGGUGAACCUGACGGCCAAAGCCCGAUCAUGCCCCAUUAGAAGUUAGAUCGCUGACGGCGGAGUCACCUCUUCAAAUGACAAAGGCGCCCGAUUGCUCCUACCAGGGUGAUGGAUCUGAAGGCCAAAGCCCGAUCAUCUCCCAGUAGAUGUUAGAUCGCUGACGAUGGAGUCAGCUCUCCAAACGACGAAGGUACCCGAUCGCUCCUACCAGGGUGGUGGAUCUGAUGGCCAAAGCCCGAUCAUCCCCCAAUAGAAGUUAGAUCUCUAAUGGCGAAGUCAUCUCUCCAAUUGACGAAGGCACCCAAUUGCUUCUACUAAGGUGGUGGUUCUGACGGCCAAAGCCCGAUCGUCCCCAGUAGAAAUUAGAUCGUCGACGGCGGUGUCACCUCUCUAAACGACGAUGGUGCCCGAUCGCUCCUACCAGGGCGGUGAAUCUGAUGGCCAAAGCCCGAUCGUCUCCCAGUAGAAGUUGGAUUACUGACGGCGAAGUCACCUCUCUAAACGAAGGCGUCCGAUCACUCCUACCAGAGCGAUGGAUCUGACGGCAAAAGUCUGAUCGUCCCCCAGUAGAAGUUUGAUCACUGACGGUGGAGUCACCGCUGCAAACGAUUGUAAAAAAAGAAUAAUAAAAAAAAAGAAGAAGAAAAAAAUCCUCACCUUUUGAAGAUGCGUUUGGAAGCAAAAAAAGGGGCACAACUUUAGUUCCAAAAAAGAAAGAGAGAGAAUUAAAAAAGAGAAUUAUUAGAGAAGAAAAAAGAAGAGAAGAGAAGUUUUUCUCUUCUCUCAGACUUGGAAAGAA